ACAUACGACCAUACCUACUGGAGAACUCGGGAUCCCGUCCGCUCUCCCAUAGAUAAGCCAGUGAGGGCCGGAUUAGUAGUUGGGUCGGUGACGACCAGCGAAUACCUGGUGUUGUAUGUA
rnacentral:rRNA from 1 species